GUGCACGCUGGCGGUAGGCCUAACACAUGCAAGUCGAACGGCAGCACAGUAAGAGCUUGCUCUUACGGGUGGCGAGUGGCGGACGGGUGAGGAAUACACCGGAAUCUACUUUUUCGUGGGGGAUAACGUAGGGAAACUUACGCUAAUACCGCAUACGACCUACGGGUGAAAGCAGGGGAUCUUCGGACCUUGCGCGAUUGAAUGAGCCGAUGUCGGAUUAGCUAGUUGGCGGGGUAAAGGCCCACCAAGGCGACGAUCCGUAGCUGGUCUGAGAGGAUGAUCAGCCACACUGGAACUGAGACACGGUCCAGACUCCUACGGGAGGCAGCAGUGGGGAAUAUUGGACAAUGGGCGCAAGCCUGAUCCAGCCAUACCGCGUGGGUGAAGAAGGCCUUCGGGUUGUAAAGCCCUUUUGUUGGGAAAGAAAAGCAGCAGGUUAAUACCCCGCUGUUCUGACGGUACCCAAAGAAUAAGCACCGGCUAACUUCGUG
rnacentral:rRNA from 1 species